rnacentral:rRNA from 1 species
UACGUAGGGUGCAAGCGUUGUCCGGAAUUAUUGGGCGUAAAGAGCUCGUAGGCGGUUUGUCGCGUCUGCUGUGAAAACUCAGGGCUUAACCCUGAGCCUGCAGUGGGUACGGGCAGACUAGAGUGUGGUAGGGGAGAUCGGAAUUCCUGGUGUAGCGGUGGAAUGCGCAGAUAUCAGGAGGAACACCGGUGGCGAAAGCACUCUGCUGGGCCGACACUGACACUGAGAGACGAAAGCUAGGGGAGCGAAUGGG